rnacentral:rRNA from 1 species
UACGUAUGGAGCAAGCGUUAUCCGGAUUUACUGGGUGUAAAGGGAGCGUAGGCGGUAAGGCAAGUCUGAUGUGAAAGGCCGGGGCUCAACCCCGGGACUGCAUUGGAAACUGUCGCGCUCGAGUGUCGGAGAGGUAAGUGGAAUUCCUAGUGUAGCGGUGAAAUGCGUAGAUAUAAGGAAGAACACCAGUGGCGAAGGCGGAUUACUGGACGGUAACUGACGGUGAGGCGCGAAAGCGUGGGGAGCAAAAAGG